AAAAAAAAAAAGAAGUCCUCGCUUUCCAUAAAUCAGAGCAAGCGUCCCACGGUGUCGUCAUGGGAGACCCUUCCCCACGCCUAGAUUAGUGUGCGUUGAAAUGCUGGGAUGGGGUUUUGAAGACACCUUUGCCGUGCGAAUUGGACGCCUCGGACGCUUCUUGUUACCUCGGAGCACACACGCGGCAGUUACCGUUUAUUGGCACAACAAAUUAGAAAAUUGAUAGUUUCAUUUCGUAUGGUGUUUUAGUUUGUUUGUUUUUCUGUGCCCCUGUGUAUCGCGUUUGUGACGUGUGAUUUGAGUGCAAUCGAGCAAAUGAUGAUGGGUGGUGGGUUGCUAGCAAAACGGUGCACCCGUGUGAGUGACGUUACCUUGAGGUGUUUGCCCCGCUAAAGUUCCUUGAAACAGCCGCUUUCGUCAGCUAUAUAAAAUUAAGCCGGCACGCGCGCUCCGUCCCCUUGCUCCGUGUUUAUCGCUGAAGGAUGUGUUCGCCGGAACCGAAGUGUCAUCUGUCAGUCGACACGGAUGCCGCAGAGCGAAGGUUUCGCCGACAGUUGAUGGGAGGUGCUCUCUGUGAGUGUGCGACAGAGGAAAUAUUGCGAUUUGGAAUUGGUCCCCUCGCCCACCCCCUCCCUCAACGAUGUAGAUAUUAAAUUGUUUCCAGAGUUUCUUCCGGCUUCGGAUGGAUUGAAGAAAACGUGCCAACACGAUUAAAGAAAGCAGUUCUAUAAGGCUCAAUAGUCCAUUAAAAGUAGAAGUAUUGGUGCCUCUGCAGUUUUUAAGUUGGGAAAAAGAAGAAUAAUUCCAUUUCUUGCAAGCAUGCAAGCACUCAUAAUUACUGUCAUGUUUGUCAUGUCCUUGUCACGAACAAAAACAUGUCAAGAGAUGCAAACAUUAAUAAUAAACUAUUCAAAGGCAGAGUCAAAAAAGCUU